UAGGGAAUAUUGCACAAUGAGCGAAAGCUUGAUGCAGCAACGCCGCGUGCGCGAUGACGGCCUUCGGGUUGUAAAGCGCUUUUCGGGGAGAUGAGGAAGGACAGUAUCCCCGGAAUAAGUCUCGGCUAACUACGUGCCAGCAGCCGCGGUAACACGUAGGAGGCAAGCGUUAUCCGAAUUUACUGGGCGUAAAGCGCGUGCAGGCGGUUCGGUAAGUUGGAUGUGAAAUCUCCCGGCUCAACUGGGAGGGGACGUUCAAUACUGUCGG
rnacentral:rRNA from 1 species